rnacentral:snRNA from 1 species
CUUUAACGAUAUUAAGAAUGAUGAAAUAAGACUGAGCCUGGGUCAUAAAUUCAAUGUCCUAGGCACUACAAUGUUAUAUUGGCAGUAGUUGACUGAAAGAAAAUACGCUUGUAACAAGCUUUUUUCAAUUAGAUUCGGG